ACUCGGGAAAAACAACUGAUCUAAGGAUCACACUUUGAAUGUGCCUGGCUUCAAAGACAUUUUUUGGGGGAAAUUCCGAGUUCUCAUGCAGGCUUCAAGUCCAGAGAUCCAUGUUAGCAGGACACCAAGAUAUGUGGUGGCAAAAUCUCUUGGGAAUCUUAUUUCUUAAAUGCAGGAACAUAUGCAAACAAGAUGAUCAGAAAUCUAGCAGCCACCUUUGGUCAAAUAGCCAAAAAGACAAAAAGCCAAAAAAAAAAAAAAAAAAAGAAAAAGAAAGAAAGAAAAAGCAUUGCAGCAGACAUCCUAAAUUCCUUAGCCCACAUAAUAAUAGAUAAAAGGGUUACCUGUAAUUUUUCUACUGACUAAAGAAGGAGGUAUUGGUGCUAAUAUUCACACUAUUUGUUGCACUUACGUCAUUACCCUUGGAGAGGUUUAGACAUGCUUAGGAAAAAACUUCUCAAAAGACACAACGGGCUCUAAGAUGUAACUUGUAACAUCUUGCUCCUUGACAGAAGGGAAGCUCUAGCCAAGACUGAAGUUCCUGCUACCAAGAGACAAUUGGGAUUCCCAGGAAUAGUGAUUUUCUGCUGCAUUUGGAUUCAUAGCAAAACCCCCUUAUGAAGCUCUUAAGGCAGGAGACUGUGAACCUCUAGAUUGGACUAAGGAAUGCUAUAAGGCACUCCAGGUUAUCAAAGAAAAACUGAUAACUGCUCUAGCUUUAUUUAUUUAUUUUUGGUCUGGUCAGCAGCAUGCAAAAGUUCCUGGGCCAGAGAUUGAACCCGUGCCACAGCGGUUAAAGAUCCAAUGAUAGAUCUUUAACUCCCAGGCCACCAUGGAACUCCUGCCCUGGUUUUAGGUCUUGCAUGUAUCAGAAAGCCUUCUGACUUACUUGUUCAUGAGAUGCAAGGAAUCAGCCUUGGAGCUGUAGCUCAGAACCUGGGUAGCCUAAGGAGGCCUGUUUCAUAUUUCUCAAAGCCAGUAGGUACACUUGCUAAGGGAUGGCCAGUCUGCCUUCAAGCUGUAGUGACUUCUGUGAUCUUUUACAAGAAAUGGAGAAAUUUAUACUAGGACCACCUAUGACUGUGCACCUCACUGUAUUCUCCCCAGCCCACCCUGAACAAAAGAGCAAAUGUGGGUUAACUUCAGGAAGAUUGGGAAAAUAUCAGGCUUAUAUUAUUGGAUAAUUCUACUGUUACUCUAAAAGCAGUCUCUGCCUUGAAUCUUGCCCCUUUGCUCCGGAUGGAUACUAAAGUGCCUAUACAUGGUGGUAUUCGGAUAAUCAAACAGGUCUAUUCCAGCCAUUCAACCUGAUGGAUUGGCCUUUGGAAGACCCUUUUCCAGACCUUGAGGUGUUCAUAAACAGGAGUAGCUUUAUGGACCAGGAAUGACACAAGCCUGGGUAGAUGAUGGUGACUGAUCAAGACACUGGAAGCAGAAGCCCUUCCACCAGGUACCUCCACACAAAAGGCGGAACUUAAAGCCCCACCAAAGCCCUCUCUCAAGAUAAGGGUAAGAGUAAUUAUUUUCACUGAUUGUGAAUUUACUUUAUUGGUGGUCCAUUCCUGUGGGACCUUUGGAAGAAAGAAGACUUUUCAAUGCAGGGAAGAAGGAAAUUAAACAUGCCAAAGAAAUUUUAAACUUAUUAGAAACUAUCAUGGAGCAAAAAGAAUUGGCUAUUGUUUGCUGUCCCGGAUGUCAGAAAUUGACUGCUUAAGGGAAUAAUCCAGCAGAUUAAAUGGCAAAGCUAGCAGCCAUGACUAAAACACAUAGAUCUGCGAUUUGACAAGAGGCUAUCCAGAGUAUUCUCCUGAAGAUUUAGAAAAUGCCAGUGAAUGGGGAUUGAUGGGCAUCCUGGCCAUUUUCAGGAUGACAACUUAGAAGUAUACCAAGGAGGGGUAGAUUUAUAAUAGAUGAGGCAAAGUCCUUUUAUCUGAACAGCUUGUGGAAGAUGUAAUAAACUGUAAACACCAGAGUACCCACUAUGGGAGAAAUGCCACCCUCCAGUGGAUUCAUAAGUUCAUUUUAGGACAAGAAAUGCAAAGGAUAAUUCAAAAGAUGAUACAGAAAUGCAUCGAUGGGCUAAAAAUAAUCCUAAUACUGAGCUGCCAAAGGAAUGGACCCAGCAGAAGACUGGCAGGUGGUACUGCGAUGCCAGGAGCCACUAGAAAUCUUGAGUGCUUACAAGUAUUUGUGGACACUUGUCCUGGUUGAGGCAGAAGCAUUCCUUUAUCGGACUGAAAAAAGCUUCUGAGGUUGUUAAUGGCCCACCAAAGGAAACAAUUCUGAGGUUUGGGUUACCUGUAUCCAUACCAAGUAACAAUUGGAGAUUCUUUUUAGCAAGAAUGACUCGAGAAGUACCUAGAGCCUUAAACCUUCAUCAGAAAUUACAUACUUCUUGGUGAUCCCAAUCUACUGGCAAAAUGGAAAAGAUGAAUCAUACUCUUAAAAAGGAUGUAGCUAAAAUAUGUCAGUCUAAUUUAACCUGGGAUAAGGCCUUACUGGUUGCCCUGCUUCAAGUGAAGAUGGCUCAUAGAAGCUCCAGUUGAGCCCCUAUAAAAUUCUGUAUGGGAGACCCUUCUAUUUUUCAGAAAUGGUUUAGGAAAUCCAGAAGAAACUCAAGGAACUAGACACUGUCAAGUAUGUACAAUCACAGAGACCCACUCUAACUGCUGCAAUUUGCUUCUAGCAGGUUGGUAUUUCUCAUGGAUAUGCCCCUCCACCACUUCUGUCCUAGAAACUGGGUCUUGCUAAAAUCUUGGGAGAGAAAAACAUCCAGAAGACCACCUUCAUCCCUGUUGGACUGGACCUUAUGAGGUGCUAUUCGUGACCCAUUCCUUGGUGAAGAUGAAGGGAAUUAAGCCACAGAUUCAUCGCACUUGAGUUAAGCCGGUCUAGCAGAGAUCAGCCUAGACAAGAAUGCAACAGGAAAGGGAAACCAUGCUGCAGAACAGAACCAGAAUUGAGAACAUCCAAACCUUGGCUUCUUCUGCACCCCUGAUACUGACUUUCCUGAGUGGAAAAGUGAAGCCCUUAAAUGCUUUCCAGGAGGAAGACUCAAAAGAAAUUGAGGUGAAGAGAAUUGCUGUGGUGGUGACGUUGGUAAACUCAUUGCAAAGCAAUCUAAGUAACUCCUUAGGUUACUACAAUGACUAUUCUUUUUUUUUUUUUUUUUUUUUUUUUUUUUUUUUUUUUUUUUUUUUGUUAAGCUUUCUCUUUGUUUCUAACCUCCCAGGCUUGGAAAGACUCUCAGUGACAGGGAUUUCUCAGACUUUGGCCAAAGUAGGUAAUCUCUCUAGCUGUUGGAUAAAUUAUCCAAAACCUUUUCCUGUGUUUGAUCUUGCUGCCCCCUUGGUUGUGCUGUGAUCAGUUUCCUGGUGGUCCAUAACUUCACUGUGAUUUAGGAUAAAAAGUCCUCAGAACACACCAGGUUAGGCUAAUCGGAGAAUUUCCUGCCCCUUGUUUUCUCUUGACUAAGCCCAAAUUUGGUCCUCUCCUCAUAUCCUCAGACUAAAAUGGAAAUGACCCUGGCAUCUAUCUACCUCUGUCAAAGUUGUGCUUGGUCAAGAUACUGUAGAAACAGCUAUUAUUUUUCCCAGCCUAUGUCCGUUCCAUGUUUAAUACUUAGAUGUUUCAGCCAGACUGAUCGCGAUUGAGACACUCUUAGGUUGUUUUACCUUUCCACGUAUUAAACAUACUCUUAAGGGCCACCCAUACCUCUGCUGACUUGCAAAUCAAACAGCUCUGGAUGUUGCCUUAUACCUAAUCCUGACUUGACCAUGGCCUAGAUACAUUCCCUAAAAAUAAGAGCCUAAGUUCUAACAAUAUGUCUGGCAUUCUGGGUGCCCCCUCAGGGUACAUCUUUGAAGUUUUUUUUUUUUUUUUUUUUUUUUUUUGUCUUUUAGGGUCACAGCCAUGGCAUAUGGAGGUUCCCAGGCUAGGGGUAUAAUCGGAGCUAUAGCCACCGGCCUACACCAGAGCCACAGCAACAAGGGAUCUGAGCUGUGUCUGUGACCUACACCACAGCUCAUGGCAAUGCCGGAUCCUUAACCCACUGAACGAGGUCAGGGAUCGAACCUGCAACCUCAUGGUUCCUAGUUGGAUUCGUUAAUCACUGAGCCACGACGGGAACUCCUGUCUGCAGUUUUGAUCACCAAUCACCAAUUUUGGGCCUGUGAGCGCCUGAACUGGUGGUAUCUGUUGGGACACUUAGUCACAUCCUUUUUCGUACACAAUCCAAACGAGGCCUGGCAGUGGACCAGUUCUUUAAAAUUGUUCUCUAGG
rnacentral:lncRNA from 1 species